rnacentral:rRNA from 1 species
UGCUCUGUGGGAUCAGUGGCGAACGGGUGAGUAACACGUGAGCAACCUGCCCCUGACUCUGGGAUAAGCGCUGGAAACGGCGUCUAAUACUGGAUAUGUGACGUGAUCGCAUGGUCUGCGUCUGGAAAGAAUUUCGGUUGGGGAUGGGCUCGCGGCCUAUCAGCUUGUUGGUGAGGUAAUGGCUCACCAAGGCGUCGACGGGUAGCCGGCCUGAGAGGGUGACCGGCCACACUGGGACUGAGACACGGCCCAGACUCCUACGGGAGGCAGCAGUGGGGAAUAUUGCACAAUGGGCGCAAGCCUGAUGCAGCAACGCCGCGUGAGGGAUGACGGCCUUCGGGUUGUAAACCUCUUUUAGCAGGGAAGAAGCGAAAGUGACGGUACCUGCAGAAAAAGCGCCGGCUAACUACGUGCCAGCAGCCGCGGUAAUACGUAGGGCGCAAGCGUUAUCCGGAAUUAUUGGGCGUAAAGAGCUCGUAGGCGGUUUGUCGCGUCUGCUGUGAAAUCCGGAGGCUCAACCUCCGGCCUGCAGUGGGUACGGGCAGACUAGAGUGCGGUAGGGGAGAUUGGAAUUCCUGGUGUAGCGGUGGAAUGCGCAGAUAUCAGGAGGAACACCGAUGGCGAAGGCAGAUCUCUGGGCCGUAACUGACGCUGAGGA